rnacentral:lncRNA from 1 species
UUGAGUGGAUUUUUACUGAAAAAAUAUGCGAUGACAUUUGGCUUGUUCCAUGCAUGUAAGGUCAUCAGAAUAUAUCCCCACAUUAUACAAGUUAUACCAUACGCAUGCAUCUAUAUGUGGUUAUAUAUAUUGUUGAUACAAGAUAUUAACGGAGGUCAAGAUGAAAGGGAUGGUAUUCUAGUCCAGGAAAUAGGAAAGGAUCCCCUC